rnacentral:rRNA from 1 species
UACGGGGGGGGCAAGCGUUGUUCGGAAUUACUGGGCGUAAAGGGCUUGUAGGUGGCCAACUAAGUCAGACGUGAAAUCCCUCGGCUUAACCGGGGAACUGCGUCUGAUACUGGAUGGCUGGAGUGUGGGAGAGGGAUGCGGAAUUCCAGGUGUAGCGGUGAAAUGCGUAGAUAUCAGGAGGAACCCCGGUGGUGUAGACGGCUCACUGGACCGUAACUGACGCUGAGACACGAAAGCGUGGGUAGCAAACAGG